rnacentral:tRNA from 1 species
GGAAACCUGAUCAUGUAGAUCGACCGGUCUUGAAAACCGGUCAGCCGGGUUAGAUUCCCGGGGUUUCCGCCA